AACCAGCACCUCAAGUGGUCAGGAUGAUUAUUGGGCCUAAAGCAUCCGUAGCCGGCUCCAUAAGUUUUCGGUUAAAUCUGUACGCUCAACGUACAGGCUGCCGGGAAUACUGUGGAGCUAGGGAGUGGGAGAGGUAGACGGUACUCGGUAGGAAGGGGUAAAAUCCUUUGAUCUAUUGAUGACCACCUGUGGCGAAGGCGGUCUACCAGAACACGUCCGACGGUGAGGGAUGAAAGCUGGGGGAGCAAACCGGAUUAGAUACCCGGGUAGUCCCAGCUGUAAACUAUGCAAACUCAGUGAUGCAUUGGCUUGUGGCCAAUGCAGUGCUGCAGGGAAGCCGUUAAGUUUGCCGCCUGGGAAGUACGUACGCAAGUAUGAAACUUAAGGGAAUUGGCGGGGAGCACCGACAAGGGUGAAGCCUGCGGUUC
rnacentral:rRNA from 1 species